rnacentral:rRNA from 1 species
CCUACGGGAGGCAGCAGUGGGGAAUUUUGGACAAUGGGCGAAAGCCUGAUCCAGCAAUGCCGCGUGAGUGAAGAAGGCCUUCGGGUUGUAAAGCUCUUUUGUCAGGGAAGAAACGGUGAAAGCUAAUAUCUUUUGCUAAUGACGGUACCUGAAGAAUAAGCACCGGCUAACUACGUGCCAGCAGCCGCGGUAAUACGUAGGGUGCAAGCGUUAAAUCGGAAUUACUGGGCGUAAAGCGUGCGCAGGCGGUUUUGUAAGUCUGAUGUGAAAUCCCCGGGCUCAACCUGGGAAUUGCAUUGGAGACUGCAAGGCUAGAAUCUGGCAGAGGGGGUAGAAUUCCACGUGUAGCAGUGAAAUGCGUAGAUAUGUGGAGGAACACCGAUGGCGAAGGCAGCCCCCUGGGUCAAGAUUGACGCUCAUGCACGAAAGCGUGGGGAGCAAACAGGAUUAGAUACCCUGGUAGUCCACGCCCUAAACGAUGUCUACUAGUUGUCGGGUCUUAAUUGACUUGGUAAACGCAGCUAACGCGUGAAGUAGACCGCUGGGGAGUACGGUCGCAAGNUUAAAACUCAAAAGGAAUUGAACGGCGUGAGACGAGACGAGACGACGACGAGGGAGGAGG